rnacentral:ncRNA from 2 species
AUCAAAAAAAGACGCCUGAGUGCUCCGUAGACAGGUAAAAACGCUUCGGAGAGAAUAGGAAAUCCGGGGAAGAUCCGGAACGGUACCGCCACUGUAAGUGCGGAAGCUACGCCGGGGCGAAAGCCGGUCAUUGGGGAGACCCGAGAAGGCUGCGCGGAGCUGAGGAUGCACAAGUCAGGAGACCUGCUCAGAGAUGCGUCGCUUC